UACGUAGGGUGCAAGCGUUGUCCGGAAUUAUUGGGCGUAAAGAGCUCGUAGGCGGCUUGUCGCGUCGUUCGUGAAAACCCGGGGCUCAACUCCGGGCUUGCGGGCGAUACGGGCAGGCUAGAGUUCGGUAGGGGAGACUGGAAUUCCUGGUGUAGCGGUGAAAUGCGCAGAUAUCAGGAGGAACACCGGUGGCGAAGGCGGGUCUCUGGGCCGAUACUGACGCUGAGGAGCGAAAGCGUGGGGAGCGAACAGGA
rnacentral:rRNA from 1 species